GCAAAAAAUUCACCUGCAAAAAUUCACCUGCAAAAAAUUCACCUGCAAAAAUUCACCUGCAAAAAUUCAACUGCAAAAAUUCACCUGCAAAAGUGAUGACCUUAAAUGACCCAAGCCAGAGCAAUCAGCACUAGAUCGAGUCGAGCGGCUCUCAGCCAAUUAAAUUACGCUGUUUGAUCACAUGACAUGUUAGCCGGCAGUGUCUUCUGAAAAGAGAGCUGUUUAGAGGUGAGUGAUUAAGUUUUUCUCCUAAAUAGAGAUCAUUACAGAACGCCUAGUCCUACUUAAAAUACCAUUCAUUUUUCUUUUAUUUUAUCAUCUACUCGAACUGAGGAAAACGUUUGACUAACUCAAAGAAAAGUUCCGCGCCUCCCCUGCCUGUCUGCAGAGGCAGUUUUGAAUUCAGGAGCGGCAUGAUGGCAGCGGCAAACCCUGGCGGUUCUCCGGGUUCGUGGCAACCACGGAUGGGAAAAUGUGGAGGUUGCACGGCUGAUGUUUACUGUUCGUGGCACAGGAAGAGGCAGUUUCAUUUCAGGAAUGAGUGUGCACAAUCAAAGAAUAGAGCGACUGUGGAGAGACCUCUGGGUGGCCGUUACAUGCAUUUACUACGAUGUUCUUCACAACCCUGAGGAAGAAGGCCUUCUUGACAUUUCAAAUGCUGCACACCUCUUUUGCUGCCAUUACAUCUUUCUUCCUCGACUAGAGGAUAAUUUUAAUACAUUUUGCAGUGGAUGGGACAACCAUCCACUGCGAACAGAAAACAACAUGAGUCCCCCAACCAGCUGUGGGAGUUGGGUCACAGAUAUUACCCUGUUCCUGUUCCAGAAAACACACAGCUUAUCACACAUUUGAUUUCCAUGUGUGACGACUGCAAGUGUCCAGAGUGAGGACAGACUGAGGGACCCACUGCUGCACAUCAUCUGUGAGGCUUUGCACCCCUGAUGAUCCACCAGGACACACUCAGCAGUGUGUGAGGAAGAGGAGGAGGAAGAGCCAGCAGCAGCUGACAGAUGG